UACGUAGGGGGCAAGCGUUGUCCGGAAUCAUUGGGCGUAAAGCGCGUGUAGGCGGCUCGGUAAGUCUGCUCUGAAAGUCCAAGGCUCAACCUUGGGAUGCGGGUGGAUACUGCCGGGCUCGAGUCCGGAAGAGGCGAGUGGAAUUCCUGGUGUAGCGGUGAAAUGCGCAGAUAUCAGGAGGAACACCGAUGGCGAAGGCAGGUCUCUGGGCCACUACUGACGCUGAGAAGCGAAAGCAUGGGGAGCGAACAGG
rnacentral:rRNA from 1 species